CCCCAGGCUUUACACUUUAUGCUUCCGGCUCGUAUGUUGUGUGGAAUUGUGAGCGGAUAACAAUUUCACACAGGAAACAGCUAUGACCAUGAUUACGCCAAGCUAUUUAGGUGACACUAUAGAAUACUCAAGCUAUGCAUCCAACGCGUUGGGAGCUCUCCCAUAUGGUCGACCUGCAGGCGGCCGCACUAGUGAUUAACCUUACCUGGGCUCGAACGGCUUUGGACCAUCCUUGGAAACAGGGACUUCCCGCAAGGGACCGGAGUCGAGGUGCUGCAUGGCUGUCGUCAGCUCGUGUCGUGAGAUGUUGGGUUAAGUCCCGCAACGAGCGCAACCCUUGUCCUGUGUUGGCAUGCCGCAAGGCGCAACUCUCAGGAGACCGCCAGCGAUAAGUUGGAGGAAGGUGGGGAUGACGUCAAGUCAUCAUGGCCUUUAUGUCCAGGGCCACACACGUGCUACAAUGGGCGGUACAAAGCGCUGCCAACCCGCGAGGGGGAGCUAAUCGCCAAAAACCGUCCUCAGUUCGGAUUGCAGGCUGCAACUCGCCUGCAUGAAGCUGGAAUCGCUAGUAAUGCUAUAUCAGAACGAUAGCGUGAAUACGUUCCCGGGCCUUGUACACACCGCCCGUCACAUCACGAAAGUGGGUUGUACUAGAAGUCUGUAUGCUAACCCGCAAGGGAGGCAGCGGCCCAAGGUAUGACUCAUGAUUGGGGUGAAGUCGUAACAAGGUAACCGUA
rnacentral:rRNA from 1 species